GAGGCACGGUCACUUCAAGUACGGCUUCGAAACCGACACUGGCAUAAAAGUAGACGCUCUCGGCACCCCUGGCAGCGAGGGUCAGAGCAACAUCAAUGGAAACUUCAAGUUCCCCCUGGGUAAUGGUCAGCACUUGGAGGUUGUCUACGAAGCUGACGAGAAUGGAUACCGUCCAAGCGUAAAAUUCGUACGCUCUUAGGCUCGUUCUGAGGACGAUUAGUGACGCCUCUCAACACAUCUGACCCCGACGAUACUACCAACCAUUCCCCGGCAACCACACCUGAUUCCCAAACCUGUUCUAAAACACACCUGAAUACCCAAAACAUGAACCCUUACACACAUUCAUACUAGCCCAAGUGUUCCCCUACACACAUAUGCACACCAACCCACACCUUCACGCAUUCUCUUAGUUCCUUCCCUCCUACUCCACACAAGUCCUCCACCCCUUCCCCUUCCCACCCACCCUCUAACCCACCAACACUCGCCCACUCUCUCCAACACUGGUAACAUCACCCACGGGUCUUCAGCUCCAUUGCUGAACGACCAAGUGAUGAUAAAACUGUUUCCAGUGUUUCUUUCAAUAUUUUUUAUACACCAAUGUGAAUUUUCUAUCGUCCUCCCUCUACCACGCCUCUCUCCCAAUCCUAUCUCUCUAAUUUCCCUCCUGUCCCAACGUCUCACCCUUAUCCCCCUCACCAACUAAACUCUCCCCUCCCAAUUCGUCUCCUCUCCACUCCCCUGGCCCUCCAGUUCCUUCCCUCGGACCCUGUGAAUACUGUACAUACAUUCCCUUACUGGCUGCAGCUUGGAAGCUCCGACACGCAAGAUACUCCAACUGGACCCUUCCAGCCUCGUCUGUUUUUGAUUGAAUUGUGUAAUAAAUGCUCCAAUGAACACCUGACAGAA